rnacentral:rRNA from 1 species
UACGUAGGGCGCAAGCGUUGUCCGGAAUUAUUGGGCGUAAAGAGCUCGUAGGCGGCCUGUUGCGUCCGCUGUGAAAUCCCGGGGCUCAACCCCGGGCCUGCAGUGGAUACGGGCUGGCUAGAGGCAGGCAGGGGAGAACGGAAUUCCUGGUGUAGCGGUGAAAUGCGCAGAUAUCAGGAGGAACACCGGUGGCGAAGGCGGUUCUCUGGGCCUGUACUGACGCUGAGGCUCGAAAGCGUGGGGAGCAAACAGG